CGGGUUGUAAAGCUCUUUCGGCUGGGAAGAAGGGAGUAAGUGCUAACAGUACUUGCUUUUGAUGGUACUAGAAGAAGAAGCACCGGCUAACUUCGUGC
rnacentral:rRNA from 1 species